rnacentral:tRNA from 1 species
UGGGGCGUAGCCAAGUGGUAAGGCGGUGGGUUUUGGCCCUGUUAUUCGGAGGUUCAAAUCCUUCCGCCCCAG